rnacentral:rRNA from 1 species
UACGUAGGGGGCAAGCGUUGUCCGGAAUCAUUGGGCGUAAAGAGCGUGUAGGCGGCCAGGUAGGUCGGUUGUGAAAACUGGAGGCUCAACCUUCAGAGGUCGACCGAAACCAUCUGGCUAGAGUCCGGGAGAGGAGAGUGGAAUUCCGUGGUGUAGCGGUGAAAUGCGCAGAGUAUCAGGAAGAACACCCGUGGCGAAAGCGGCUCUCUGGAACGGUACUGACGCUGAGACGCGAAAGCGUGGGGAGCGAACAGG